AAAAAAAAAAAAAAAGAGUUGUGAGGUCCGGGUCGGGCCGGAUCCGGACUUGGCCCGACCCGGCCCCUUUUUUUCUUUUAUUUUUUCCUGCGUGGGCCUAAGCCCAACCCUCCCAUUUACUUUUUCUUUUUCUUUUCUUCCCCUUCGCACAGCCCAACCCUCUUUUUCCCUCUGGCCCGGCCCACCUCCUUGUCUUCUCCCUCAGCCGCCUACUGCACGGGGAACCAGCGAAGCAGAUUGCAGCCGUUCGCGUGGGGAAAUGGCGAAGCCGAAAGCAGGGGCAGAGGCGGAGGAGACAGCAUCAUCUCGUCGGCAGGUCAGCGGGUUGGGGAGAGGGGAUUCGGAGGCACGCGGAGCUGAUUCGCGCGCACGCGAAGGGAAGCGGGGGGCAUCUGCACCAAAAAAGGGAGAAACAAAAGAGAAACAAAAGAGAGAAACAGAGAAGAGAAACGGAGAAAAAGGAGAGAAAGAAAAACGGGAGAAAAACAGAGGGGAGGAGGAGUCGUGGUGGUAGCCCUCGCCGCGCCACCGCUACCCCUUGCGACGCCUGCAGCCCGAAGCCGCGAUGCCGCCGCUGCCCUCCGAGCGUCGACCCAUAGUACCCAACGCUGCAGCUCCCGACACCAAGCGAGCAGAAGAGAACCGGAGGGAGAGGCACAAACAGAGAGCAGAGAGAGGAGAGCGAGCUCGGGCGGAAGAAGACUCGCCGUCGCCGUUCGUGCCGUCCUUGCCGCCACCACCUGCUCUGCCGCGCCGGAACGCUGACCCCGAGCCACUGCUGCCCGCGAUCCCGUCCGUGCUGUUGUCGCUGCCCAGGAGCCGCGACGCUGCUGCAGCUUCAGCCUCAGCCUCAACCCGACGCUGUCCAAACUGAGCCGCCGCCCCCCUGCCCGACGCCAUCCGAACCGGCACCGCCGACCCCUGCGCUCGUUGCCUUCGCCAGACCGCGCCGACCUGUGACUCGCCGCGCUCUGCCUGCAACCGCGAGGACCGCCGCGUCUCCACCCCUACUCCGCCGCGCCUCCACCUGCAGAAUCCGCGAGCCCUGCAGUAGCUCGCCAUCGCCCGCCGCGUCUCCGCUGUCACUCGCCGCGCCGCCGCCGCCGUCAAGUCCGUCGCUGCCGUCAUCAGCACCGCCAAGGAGCCGUAGGGCUUCGGCCACGAACCGGGUCGCACGGAUCGGGCGCGGGUCGCAAAACAGGUAGGUUUUUCUUUUUUUUUAAAAGCAAUUUUGGGCUUGUUUUGGGCUUGGUUUAUUUUGGCUUGCGGGCUUAAGGAUUUUAGAGAUUGUGGGUUUAGGGAGUUGUGGGCUUCAUUUUCUAAAAUAAAAAAGAUUCGACUAGCUUAGGCCCGCUGGUUGGGCCCAAUCCGAACUGAAGAAAGGCCCGACCAAGGCUAGUCGGGCCGGUUCGGCCGGCCCCCCCAUUUGGACCGAACCCGAUCCGCGUUGACCGGGUCGGGUCGAACCGAACCCGACCCGGUUCACCUUUUAAAAUAAAAUUUAAUUUAAAAUUUUAAAAAUAUUUUCUUAAAAAAAAAAAAAAUCUAAAAAAAUUUCGAAAAUCCAGGAAAAUAUAUUUAAAAAUUAGAAAUUAGUUAUUUUUCUUUUUAAAAAAAUUAAAAAUUAAAAAUUAAAAAAAAAUUUAAAAAAUCUAAAAAAAAUUUCGAAAAUCCAGAAAAAUAUAUUUAAAAAUUAGAAAUUAGUUAUUUUUCUUUUUAAAAAAAUUAAAAAUUAAAAAUUAAAAAAUUAAAAAUUAAAAAAUUAAAAAAUUUCGAAAAUCCAAAAAUGAUGGGGUUUGAUUAGGACUUGCCAUGUAUUGCCAUUUUAGCGUUAUUAGACCUUUAUGUGCUCGUAUAUUGAUUAUGUUAAAUGUUUAAUUUGCAUAUCUAAUUAUGUUUGAUUGCACGUGUUUUAUUUUAUGGCAAUUAGGAUUUUGAUAGUUAUGAUUAUUACUUUAAUGAUCGCGCACCCGCAUGAUCACCUCACAUGUUAGUGGAUAAGUAUAAAAUCAAUUCAAACUGCCUAUGAAAAAUCUUUUUGUUAAAAUGAACAAGAUUAGGUACCGAAAGGGCACUAAUUGGUUAAUUAGUGUAAACAAGUCCCCGAACCUAGAUUCUCUGGUUGCGUAGAAAGUGAGGCACGCUCCCAUGCCUCAUUUGGUUUCUAGCCGACCCCAAUAGGCUAGUGGCGACUCCUUUUAUGCAAAAUCUUUUAAGAAUAUCCCAACGUCACGCGGGGUAUGGGCUUGGGAGAGCUCGCGCCUGAUCAUGGGCCUUAGCCCCGUCCUUUAGGCAAUACCCCUAAACCUGUUCCCUCCCCCCGAGGGUAGGUCGUGACAAAAAUAUACAUUGUCGAGAGCGGGACAUAAGUUUAUUUGUGUUGUAUGAACGUAACCACGGAUAGCAAAGACAACCAAAUGUACAAAGUUUUUUUAUAAGUGGGACCAUUUGGAAUAAUGUUUGAAAUGGUAAAUGCAUAUUUAGAACGGGUGUUGGCAAAUGAUUAAUGAGGUAUGUAGCAGUUUGAAAAGCAUAUGACCAAAAAGAAUGUGGUAGAUUUGCUUUGUAUAAUAAGGCGAGUCCGGUUUCAACUAUGUGUCGGUGUUUUCUUUCUGCAGUUCUAUUGUGUUCUGGUUUGUGUGGCGGUGUAGUUAGAUGGGAAAUUCCAUAUUUUGCAAGAAAUGGUUUUGAAAUUCUCCACCACCAUCCGAGUAUAAAUUUCGAAUAGAGACAAUAAAUUGUUUUUCAACCAAGCUUUUGAACUGUUCAAAACAUAUGAUUUUUUUUCUUAUAAGAUAAAGUCAAGUGUACUUCAUAUAGUGGUCAACAAAUAUAAGAUAGUAACGGAAACCAUCAAUUGAAGCAAUUGACACAGGACCCUAAACAUCAGAAAAAAUAAUAUCAAGCAGAAAAUGACUAAUAAAAGUUGAUACCCCAAAUGGAAGUUUGUGACUCUUAUUGCACUGACACGCAUCACAGGAUAACUUAGAGCCUAUGAUUGACUCAGAAUAUGAAAUGAAGGGUGACCUAGUCUAUUGUGCCAAACCAUCAGUUUUGUCCGCUCACUGACAAAGGCUGUGAAUUUUGGAUGAGUGUUUGUGAGAGGCAUCUGAUACACACCAUUGCUAAGCCCUCCUUGAAGCAACGUCGCCCCCGUGCAAAGGUCUUUCACCAAAAAAUAACUGGCAAAAAAUUCAAUAAAUGAGUGGUUAUUGCGACAAAAUUGUGAGAUGGAAAUAAGGUCUUUUGUACUAUCAUGUGCACAUAAAACAUUGGUUAAUUUAAAGGAUUGGUUUGAAUAGGAUAAAUUAGUAGAACCAACGUGACUAAUACACAAACCUAUGCCAUCACCAAUGACGAUCUCACCGGGGCCUUCGUACUCUGAGUGAGUAGUGAGGUUGUUGAGAUUGCUUGUGACGUAAUGUGAUGCUCCUGAGUCUAGUAGCCAGCCAUUUUCUUGACAUGGAGCUGUUGCAAGAUGAGCAAUAGGUUCACAGAAACUAUUUCAAAUGCGAAAACAAGAUGUGGCCGAGUGUCCAUAUUGAUUGCAAAACUGACAUGUCAAGCGAGGCUCUCUGUUGUCCCGAUCAAAAUACCUCCUAUGAGAAGGUCCAUGAUGCUGGUUAGAUCUGGAAUAAUUUUGAUGACGGCUGCAAUUAUUGGGCCAACGAGAGUUGCUUCCUGUGCCAUGGCUUCUGUUGCUGUAGUUGGUUGUGACCGAUGCUACUUCAAGUCUAAUUUCUUCUAGUUUUAGUUGGGUUUCAUAGGCCAAAAAUUUGUCAUGCAUUUUUUCAAAGCUGAUUGUGUUUUCACAAGUCCUAAUCGCUGCUGCGAUUUCUUUGUAUUCAAUUCCAAGUCCUCGAAAUGCAUGAAUGACUAAAUCAUCAUCAGAGAUAGGGGUGUCAAUGAUUGCUAAUUCAUUGGCAAUGGCUUUAAGUUUCUACAAAAAUUCUGAAAUAGAACGUGAGUUUCAGCGAGUGAUAGAGAGUUGAUCCUUGAGAUGCAUAACUCUUGAGUGGGAUUUAUUUGCAUAUAAAUUCAUGAGUUUUGUCCAGGUAGCAUGUGACGAAUUGCAAGAGGCAAUGAGAGGAAUCACAGCUUCGGAUACAGAUGCAAAAAUUGCAUGAAGCAAGAGCUAAUCCUAGCAAAUCCAAGUUGUUCCGGCUGGAUUUGGCACUGCUUGAUUUCCAGUUGAAAUGGUGAGAGGCGAACAGACAGAAGUUCUGUCAACAAAUCCCAUUAAAUCAUAACCAAUGAGUAGCGCCAAGAGGCUGUCGCGACCCGAUCUCGCCGCCCCUCGAAAAGUAUCCAAGGUGGGAAAGGUCGGAUUUAGGAGUACUUGAUCACGAGAGUUCCCUCACGAGAUCGCGAGCUCUCCCAAGCUCGUACCCCGCAUGACAGCGGGUUUAUUUAUACGAUCUAGGUAUUUAACAACCUAAUAAUAUACAGGAGUCGCCACUAGCCUUAUUUUUUUAGGGUCGGCUAGAAACCCAAUCGAGGGUCGGGAGUGUUUCCUCGAUUCCUACAUAGCCAGAUACCUAGGUUCGGGGACUUGGGUUACGCUAAUAUUGCUAUUAGCGCCCUUUCGGUACCUAAACAGUAUUUUGUAUUUUUCCUAACAUGUCCAUGCAUUUCUUUUUUUACAUUUUUCAGGAUCGUCAAUUCUAUACUAAGUGAUCAUGCGUGGUUAUUACUUUCAUUCUAUUCUAUUUCUAAAAAAAAGAAAGGAAAACAAUCAAUAAAAUAGAAAGUGCAAGACACUAAGUAAACAAUCAAGAAAAGUAGUUAAACCUAAUCAUGCAAUUCUAAAAAUAUAAAAGAGAAAACAAUCGGGAAAAAAAGGAAACCCGCAACUCAUCGGGUUUUAUACAACAAAUGGAGCCCGAGACAUAUGUCAGGAAAAUGGGUAUUACAUGAAAAUGGUCGGAAUGGACAUUGACCUCCACCAUCUUCACGCCUUCUCCAUCUUCAAGGUCCUAAUCUAAACCUAAUCUAAGAAAUUUAUGACUAGGUGCAUACAAGUGAAUGAAACAAUCAUCACAACUAAGAUCAAAGCAAUUGGGGUAGAACCCAUGUAUGAUUGGCUCUAAGAAAAAAAACACAAAAAUCAAGCACUUGAUAAAAAGCAACUUUCAUGAAUGGAAUUUCCUGAGGCGUAUCAAGUUCAAGUAAAGUCAAAUUCAUGGCCGAAAAGCAACAAUCGCUAAAGCAUGCAAAUCAAUCAUAAGCAAAUCAGAGAAUGAUGCAUGAUAACUGAUUUGUUAAGCCACCUAAUCAAUGCAUGAAAAUCAUGAAAUUUGAACAUGACGUAGGGAUAAAUGUGAAGAAAAAGUUUGAUUUAGACAUUUAACCCUAAAUCCAUGUGCAAAAGGUCACACAAAUCCAUUAACAUUGAUAUGUGACUUGUCAUUAGGAGCAAAAUGCAUAACAAUUUAAAUUGCUACAUGUCGACUUGAAUUCUAAGGUUACUUGACCUUAAAAAUUCUGAAAUUUUAGCAUGGGAUGGAUAUGGAUAUUAUGGACAGCUUUCAUUGAGAAUUGAUCCUCGAGAUCAUUAUGUAUAAGAUCACACAAAAUUGGUAGACAAUCAGAUUCAUAGAGACAAGACAGCACUGCAGGUCAAGACAAAUUCAGACUUCAAAACUUGAUCUAAAAAAAAAGAAAGCAGGGCAAAUGAUGGGCAAAUUGGACAAACUAGGCAUCGUUAGAAAGCUCAAGGUGUCCUUUACGAAUUCCUGUUAGGUGACAAUUGCAAUUUAGGUCUUUUUCUAGCUCAAGCAAAGCCAUUUGUAUAAGUGGUCAAAUCAGAUCAUAACAAGCAGAACACAUCAGCAGAUUAGUGCUCUUUGCAAGAAGCAUCAGGCAGGGCAAAUGAUGGCUAAAUCGCACAUAUAAUAUGUCUAUGGAAAGCUUGAGAAGUCUAUUAAAAAUCUCUAGAAGACAUUAAGUCCUAAUGACAUCAUCUACCAGCUCAGAUCAAGUGAUUUACACAGAAGGUCAUCCGAAACAGAGAGCAAGUCAGAACACCAAAAUUUUCCAGAAAACUAGUGCUAAAUGCCGAGCUAUUUUCAGGUAGUAAACGACAUCGGAUCAGAACGUUCUAUGGGUCAUUGGAAAGGUCUUUGAGUCGUCUUCAACUCUCGUGAAGACAUUGAACAUAAAAAACCACAGCAGCUAGCCCACAGAAUCCAAGAACAAAAUUCAAUAGAAACUCAGCAAAUAGCAAGCGUGUCCAACAAUCACAGCAGCAGUACUUCAAGUCAGAAUUUUAGAACAGUGUGUAUAUUUUUGAGAUGGAUACGAGCUGACAAACAACUUUCAUUUGGGGGCUUUAAUACACCAAAUCAAAGCUUAAGAUGUGCACGUCGAACUUCUAGCUCAUCACUUCACAAGACAACGGCAUUUAAGAGUUCAAAAUAGAACUAACAGGAACAUGCUCAUCCAUACUCAAAAAUCACAGCAUCUAACUAUAAUCUGUUCCAGAUCAUAUAAGCAUUGAUUUUAACUAGAUUUGCAAUGCAUCCUGGCCCCGAACUUUCAAUGUCGAGAAUGUACUUCGACAUAAAAGGUUUUCACCUCAUCAAACACUAUGAUGAUCACCAACAACACUGUAUAAAGGCAAUCGACCGAAGGAAGCACCCAUAAGAGAAGCAAGGUCAACUGAAAACCAAUUACCUCAAGUAUAUAAUUUGCUGUCUUGCAUUUUUUGGCACAAAAAUCCCCAACAAAAAGAGAUUGAUAAGCAAGAGAUAGAACAAUAACUGCAAAGUUGUACAUCUGCAAGAAUUUAAAAAUCCUAUUUCUCUUCUUCAAUAUAGUGAGUCAUUCGAAAGAAAACCAGAGGAAAGGCAAGAUAUCCAAGAUGCAAUAUAUCAUACAAGGUCCCAGUAAUUAAAACUAAAGCAAGCAUGAGAUCCAACAGAUGGCAACAACAAUAUACCCUCAGGUAGUCAAGAACUGUCCACAUGCUUUUAGUUUCAAAUGAGAGGUCUCUCCAUACAAAUGUGUUUUUACGCUGGGAUAUUACUUCUCUGUAAGUAUAUGACCCUGAAAAGCUAGACCCGUGAUCGGCACGAAGUUUUAAACAAGCAAGCAUGAAGACAAUGAAUUAACUGAUCAGGACAUAAGGAUCAUCAAUGGUAAAACCUAACCAAUAUAAAGCACCCACUGAUCAAUCACGCUAGGACUUCAUUAACACAGGCUUCACACAAGCAUCAAUGACAACUGGAAUCAGGCAUAUAAAAAUAGUAAUAGCAACCUGACCAACUUCCAAUCCAUAAUGCUCGACAAUCACUUCUAACAAAGUCUGCCAAACAGAUUCGGAAUGAUACCUUGUAUGUGACACUUUGACACUUGAUCGAGUGAUCCGACCUUCGUGAACACCAGUGGAUCUAUUCUUUAGUCUUGUUUCGUGAAUCACCAGAUUCGGUUGAUUUAAUGGCUAAAUUCGCAACUUCAACAGACGAGCGGUGACUUCAAAGGCUGAAAUCGACAGGAGGAACAUCCUCCAUUGUCCGUCGGCGAGAAGAAGCACAUACUCAGCGAAAUCAAAGCCAGCAAGAGAAAACGAAACUUCAGGGGAUGGAAGUAUGGAAGUACAGAGAUGAUCCUAAAAAAAAACUUUGCUCGAAAGAAUGAAUCGAUAAUCUUAGUGAGAUUUACCGAGAUCUGAGAGGGAAAACCCUCAGAAAUGAUCCGAUCCAAAGAGAAAUUGUUGCCUAGCCUCCGAAAUUCAGCGCGAAUCUGAGCCCCAAGCUUCGAGCUCUUCGAUUGGCAUCUACUCCGUCUUGAAAGUUUUGCACUCUUGAAAUGAACCUCUUGUGGACAAGUAAAAUCUUCAUCAGAGAUCCUGCAAAAUGAACAAACAUGCAGAUGCAAUAUGUAUGCAUGCAAUGCAUGAUGCAAACAUCCUAAAGUGGCUCGGAUUCAAUCAAAAAAUGGCUCAAAGGCCUUUCACUUUAUUCAUGGAUAAUAUUUCUUAACAACAUCAGCAUUUACAGGUCUUGGCAAUUCUUGACCAUCCAUUUCUACAAGGAUUAAUGCCCCACCCGAUAGCACUUUUCUUACAAUAUAUAGACCUUUAUAGUUUGGGGUAAACUUCCCACGAGGAUCUGGAAUGAUAGGUAAAACUUUUCUCAAGACAAGAUCAUUAAUCUCGAAAUGCCUUGGUCUAACCUUGCAAUUAAAUGACCUAGCUACUCUCUUCUGAUAGCUUUGUCCAUGGCAUGGCUUUUACCCUCUUUUCAUCAAUCAUAUUAAGUUGUUCAAAUCUUUGUUGAACCCAUUCAGCUUCAGAGAGCUUGAUUUGAGAAAGUACCCUCAGUGAAGGAAUUUCCACUUCCACGGGUAAUACAAAGGGAUAAUUGGCAGCAAAGAGCUUAAAUGGUAAUUGGACGGUGGCUAAGAUCGAGAUCAAACCAUUAGGUGCAGCUCUUCCGAUGGAAACGGAAUUAGAAUUUGAGGUGGUGCAAGCUGAUUCUGAAGUGACUUCCAUGGCUAGAAGGUUGCAAAAAAAAAAAUGCAAAAUAGUCGGAUCAAAAUGCUCUUGGGAGCAUAAUCGCUCUAAUACCAUGAGAAAGCUCACAAUUUGUGAAUGAAUUUUUCAUAUCACUUAAUUUACAGAUUGUACAUGCUUAUAAAGAGAAAGAAAAAUACAAUCUUUGACAGAGCAAGAAUCAUGGAAUGCCAACUUAUCUAAAUUGGUAAACUUAUAUGAAAUUCAAAAAGAUAUCAAAAAGAUUUCAUAUUCAAAAAAUAAUAUCAAAAAAGAUUUCAUAUCUUAACAAUAUCUACCAAAGAAGACUAAGGCCGGCGCCAAAAUACCCAAAAUUUUUGGAUAGGCUGGCGCAGAUUUUUUUGACUGAUCAAAUCAAAUGCUUUUGUUUUUCCCCACGGUUGAAAGCCUGAAAAGAGUUGCCUUCCUCCGUGAAGACAAGACAAUGCAAAAAUUUAGAUCAUAAAACGCCGUCUCACAAGAGAGUUAUCCGUGUACCCUUUGCAGUUCAUCGAACUCCCUCAAGUUCACCUCGGGAGGGUUGCGACUUUUGCCCGCGUGAAGAUUGUUGGCAAUUCAUUGGGUCUGAUUAGAGCCGUGAGAUAUUUUAUCUUAGUUUUCUUGGGUUUCUAGCAAAGCCUACCCAUUUCUUGGUUUUUGGUGGAACCGAACGCGCGUCACCGCCUCUCGCAGUUCUUGACGACCCGUCUUGUUGUUUCUUGCUUGUUCUUUUGUAUAACAACAGCAACUCGAUCAGACUGAGCUUUCCCUCGGAGACCAAAUCGACUUCCAUCUUUCCGUCUCCUAUUGAAAGAUGAUUCGCAAACUGACACCAUUCGCCCGUUUUCAGCAAUAUUUUCAGCAAUUUGGUUGUUAGGGUUGAUGUUGAUAGGGGGUUUUGAGAGAGAGAGAGAGAAGAGAGAGAGAGAGAGAGAGAGAGUGCAAUACUUGAAAAAUAGUUGUUUUGCUUACUGAUUAAACGUGCAAUAAACAAAAGGUAAACAAACGGGCAAUACUCUUUCCUGUGUGUGAGUUUGUGAUGGAAACUUGUGUGUGAAGGACUGAGAUAUACAUAAGAUUAAGUUAUGGGCAUAGGCAGAUCCAUCCUACCUAGGAAAUGAUUACUUUUAGAAUAAUUCGUGUUCUUAUUUCAAUCUUGAUGCUGUUUGUAAUCGUUAAGAAACAUUAGUAAAAAGAAUACGUUGUUCCUCUGUUCAUUGAAUGUGUUCAUUGAGAAACAUGCGAAAUCGGACUCUUCCUCUUACAUAACAUUGUCUGACUUCGUUUUAAUAUUCUAGUUUGUUCCAAACUACGUCCCACUAUCUUUCCAAUGUUAGAAGCUAAAGGUGGGAAAUUCAUAUGACUAGAUAUAUGAUUUUUUGACCAAAAAAGAAAAAAACAUUUAAGAUUUAAGAAAUAAAGACUAAUGAAGAAUUUAAUUAAGACAACGUGAAACGUUGCUACUGUUCUCUUAUAUUCGAUGAUUUCUGCCAAAGUUAUGUACCUCUAAAUUCUAGUUCCUAGACAUAACAAUAGCAUAUCCACAUGAUGUUAUAUCUUUCGGACCGAUACUUGCAACAUGGGGAACCAACUUACACUAUAAGAGUAGGAGAAUUCAACCCUUAGGACAAUUCCAAACUCAUACAAACUAGAUCACUCAGUUGUCUAAGCUUCAAUAAAUAAAGCCUAAGAUUGCAAAAAUAUUUGUGGAAUCUUGAGUUUGACUAAUUUAGAAGCUUUGAAUUUCUUUUUCUUUCUUUUUCUUUUCCAUUUUAAGGGAAAAUUCUAAAUAAAGGCUUGAAGAGCUCUUAUAUUCUCAAAUAAUGAUAUAAAGUGAACAUUAUUGUAAAUAAGGGUUUGGAGUAGAUUUUGUUCUAAAAUAAGAGCCUAAAGUAGCCAUAUCAGUUUUAAAAAAGAACUUGAACUCAUUGGCUAAUGAAGGGAAUUUCGUCUUUUAAAUUUUUUAAGUGUUGACACGGAUAUUUUAGCGAUUUGUUUAAGUGUUUAUUAAUUACAUUAGAAAAUUAUGGAUUAAUUUCUAACCCCUCAACAAAAAUAUUUCAUUAAAUUGCAUCACAUAUAGACAUUAGGAGCAUUUGUGUCACUAAUUUUAAAAUUUAUCAAAAAAAGUUUACAAAAAAAUUUAAAUAAAAAAAUUCGAAAUUUAAAAAAUAUAUAAAAAAAGAAAAGGAAAAAAAGAAGAAGAAAGAAGAGUAAAAAAAUAAUCAUUAAAAAGUAUCGUGUUUGCACAGGGUAUUGAAUGGUCUUUAUUUUUCCAAAAUUGUCAUAAAAAAAGGUAAAAAAAAAAAGAUUCAUUAAAAGGUAUAAAAAUCGAAUGAGGCCGAGUAUAGGGUAUUUCUUCGUGCGUGGGCUCGCCCACCUAUCUCUUUUCCUUUUCUUUUUUCGCACUUGGGCUGGCCCAUCUCUUUUUAUUUCAACCCGGCCCGUGCGCAGAUCAUCUUCCUCCCCUCACACCAUCCUCGCUUUCCCCUCACGCUUUCCCCUCACACCAUCCACGCUUCUCACCUUCCUCCCCUCACACCAUCCCCUCACACCAUCCACGCUUUCCCCUCGCACCAUCCACGCUUCCCCUCAAAAGAGGAGUGUAUAAACGUUAGAGAGAGCAGAGGGGAACCGAACACAGAGAGGAGGAAGCCGGAGAGAAACACAGGGAGAGAGACCGAGAAAGAGGUGGAAGCGAGAGAUAUUCGAGAGAGUGAAGUCGAAGGAGCGUUUUGGCUGCCAUCGGUCGUCCGUUCGUGAGUUGCUGUCCGUCGCAGCUCUUCUCGUUGAACCAAGUAGGUCUUCUCUGCUCAUGUAGGCUCUAUUUUUGGAGGGCGUCGAUCGACGUCGGACCGACUCAUUUUUGCUCUCGUGCCUGCUGAAUCCUUGUUGCCUUGCCCGUAUUCAUUAUGUUUUCGAGCGGUUUGCGCGAGACACUUGCAUCUAUUUGAAUCGACGAAACUUCUCGUUGCGUCGGAAAUGGGUUAGUGGUCGCCGGAAUAGGUAGCCGAUCGAGGGGGAUGACCGGUGGGCGGCGGUGGUCCGGCGGCCGACGCCGGUUGCUCCAGCCGGUGUUGAUGUAUGGUGCAGAAGGUCCGCUUGGGGCGUAGAAGGAAGCAGUUGGAGAAGGAGACCAGUAAAAAAAAAAAAAAGGAAAAAAAAAAGGAUAAAGAAUAGAAAAGGGAAAAAGCAAAACAAAAAAAAUAGAAAACUAUAACAUGGAAAAGUUGGCUUCGGGAAGGACCAACGAGCAGAGUGUGCAGGGAAAAGAACGAAGUGAGGAAAAGACAAAAAAGGAAUUACAAAAAUCAUUUAAAAAACAUUAAAAAAAUUAAAUUUAAAAAUUUAUUAAAAAAAAGUUUUCCUUUUGAAUCCAAUUGGGUCGGGUCUAGGUUGUCGGGUCAUGUCAACGGGCCGGAUUGGGUUUACUUGGCCAAAACUCGUUUUACCGAAUAUAAUAAUAUUAAAUAUUAAAAAUAUAUUAAAAAAUUCAAAAAGUUAAAAAAAGUCAAAAUUUUCGAAAAAUAAUAAAAAUUCAAAAAAUUUCCGAAAUUUCAAAAACUCAGAAACAUUAAAAAAAAUAGAC
rnacentral:lncRNA from 1 species